CAGUAGCCGCGGUAAUACGAAGGGGGCUAGCGUUGCUCGGAAUGACUGGGCGUAAAGGGCGCGUAGGCGGUUCGUACAGUUGGAUGUGAAAUUCCUGGGCUUAACCUGGGGGCUGCAUUCAAUACGUGCAGGCUUGAGUGUGGAAGAGGGUCGUGGAAUUCCCAGUGUAGAGGUGAAAUUCGUAGAUAUUGGGAAGAACACCGGUGGCGAAGGCGGCGACCUGGUCCAUUAUUGACGCUGAGGCGCGAAAGCGUGGGGAGCAAACAGGAUUAGAUACCCCAGUAGUCCCUGUCUCUUAUAC
rnacentral:rRNA from 1 species